GAUGAAGAACGUAGCGAAAUGCGAUACGUAAUGUGAAUUGCAGAAUUCAGUGAAUCAUCGAAUCUUUGAACGCAUAUUGCGCUCUCUGGUAUUCCGGAGAGCAUGCUUGUUUGAGUAUCAGUAAACACCUCAACUCCCCUUUCUUUUUCUGAAAUGGGAGCUGGACUUGAGUGAUCCCAACGCUUUUCUCACCGAAAAGUGGCGGGUUACUUGAAAUGCAGGUGCAGCUGGACUUUUCUCUGAGCUAAAAGCAUAUCUAUUUAGUCUGCCUAAAAAACAGAUUAUUACCUUUGCUGCAGCUAACAUAAAGGAGAUUAGUUCUUGUGCUGACUGAUGCAGGAUUCACAGAGACAGCUUCGGCUGGCCUUUGUAAACUCGAUCUCAAAUCAAGUAAGACUACCCGCUGAACUUAAGCAUAUCAAUAAGCGGAGGA
rnacentral:misc_RNA from 1 species